rnacentral:rRNA from 1 species
AAUAGAUACCCGGGUAGUCCACGCCCUAAACGAUGCUCACUAGGUGUUGGGGAAGCGAUUCCUUGGUACCGUAGCUAACGCGUGAAGUGAGCCGCCUGGGGAGUACGGCCGCAAGGUUAAAACUCAAAGGAAUUGACGGGGACCCGCACAAGCGGUGGAUGAUGUGGAUUAAUUCGAUGCAACGCGAACAACCUUACCUACCCUUGACAUGUCCGGAAGCCUGCUGAAAGGCGGGGGUGCUCGAAAGAGAACCGGAACACAGGUGCUGCAUGGCUGUCGUCAGCUCGUGUCGUGAGAUGUUGGGUUAAGUCCCGCAACGAGCGCAACCCUUGUCCCUAGUUGCUACGCAAGGGCACUCUAGGGAGACUGCCGGUGACAAACCGGGAGGAAGGUGGGGAUGACGUCAAGUCCUCAUGGCCCUUAUGGGUAGGGCUUCACACGUCAUACAAUGGACGGUACAGAGGGUUGCCAACCCGCGAGGGGGUAGCCAAUCCCAGAAAGCCGUUCGUAGUCCGGAUCGCAGUCUGCAACUCGACUGCGUGAAGUCGG